GGUGGCGUGGCGAGCAUGGCGCCCACGUGGCCAGAGAAAGAAUCUUGCGACUCUCGGCUUGGCAAUUGGCAUCACAUUUCAAAGAUCAUCUUGCUGGACUGCUCAAGGACAGAGUUGCUGUCAUGAUUCGAGAUUUACUGGAUGCCACUGACGUCUGUGAUGCUGCAUUCUUUGAGAAACAAGUCUCCUGGCCCUAUAACAGAGGAAUGCAAGAGGAUAUUCAUCAAGAUGACAAUGAGUGUAGAGCUGAAGAACUUACCAAAUCAAAACAGCUAGAACUGAACCAUGGCCAACCUGAGAGGAAUAUUUGAAGGUAUACUGGAGCGCACCAUGAUGACACUGUGAUAUCAUGGGAUAUAGAUCUCUAAGGAGCUGGUCUUGUCAAUGAUUGACAGACUGGUUGAACUACAUGGAUCAUGUGGAUCUCGCUGCCUGCCGAGGUCAGAUUCCUGACAGCAAGACAUCGUUAAAUAUGCAAGAAUCGCGUUCAGUCAGGUCUUGUGUGUUGACUGCUGCUUUGCACCAGCUUUGACUGCUGGAGAUCAUGGCACAUCCGUGGACGGCGUUGUCUCUACCUGUUGUCACUCCUAAGCCGUGUUCAACCAAAUUUCCAGUCCCAGGACGCUGAAAGAACACUUCAUCGAACCAACUUUCUUUGCGGCGCUGACUGAUAACGAGACCAUCACCUGAGUGUGUAAAGGUUAUCCUGCUGUGAUGUUAGCAAGCGUCGUCUAUUUGCGAACGGCAAAGGGUCACAACGCAUCUGAAUAGCUGGCAAGUGUGCGGUUCCUGAUUCCGUGGAGCAGCGUUAUCGAAAAAGAGACGUUUUGCGGUCUAGGGGCGCUUUGAAUGACAGCAGCGAAUAUGGCGACAACUCCCUUCGCACGGUGUUCUCGUGUGGAGUUUUGCUACAUACAAGAGUAUCUGCGGCGUCGUCACUCUAAGCUCCACGUUACUUCGUCUGCUGCUUGGCGUUGGCGUUGCUGGUGAAGAUUUAGAAGUUGCCUUGGGAUCGGCUAACGUCGAGAUUGGACUCAUCUGCUUGGUAAAAGGUGGCUGCAAGUCUGCUGGAUCACGAGUCAUGCCCUAACGUGAGCGGAAUGAAGCCGAUUCGGUGAAGCGAGUCUAUGGGAGCUGUCGUCACACUGCUCAUUAGAUGGUCCCUCGGAAUUGUAUGACGCCAGUAUGGAGUAGAUUCGAGAAUGACAUCCUCAGAAAGUCGCUGGGACGCUUGCAACAGACUUAUGCGUGCCCGACAUCGGCUCUGGUGGAAUCUGAAGCAGUGUCCCCACGCAGGUGGAUAUGCAGCACGGACUGUGGCGUCGGGCUUUCGCAGCUGGCAGAGGCGAAACGAUUGACCCGUAGACUAGGUUGCUGUUACGGCAAAUGUUCGCCUACCCAUUUUGAUGGAAGACUGGAUCAUAAAUAUCUGGAAUAUGUUACAAAGACAUUUUGCGGAGGCAGUACUGAAGAAUAUGUCGCUUUGUCUGGAACAUCAUGGCGACUGCUCCAACCUAAAGUGACCAGCUCAUUGAACCCGCGAUAUGAUAAUGCAAGCCAGGCCCUCCCGUCUUCUAACAGGUGUCUAUCGGAUGUCUUUACUGGGAACGCAACUGCGCUAUGGAUUGCUUGCCAACAAUACUGAAGGUUCCGCCUAAAGAAGUUGCAGACCCCCUGCUCUGCGACUCUGGAAAUGGUUGCGUUCAAUAAUCAACAUAGAUGCGGCUCUGGCAUUUGCAUUAUUCCAUGGCUGCCUUCUUCGUCGUUGGAGCUCGUUGGGUCCGGGCGUCGUCCAUUCGACUCCUCGCGGCGUUCGUCGGCACAGCCACCAUCAGCAAACACAAAGCAGCAAAGUGUCUGGUGGACAGAACCAGCGAAGUUACUCUAGGUUUUUGGGGUGCAGCUAUGGUGCUACAGGACAUAGUUCUCUGAAAACCGCUAGCGGGUUUCGUAGCGUGUACUGCGGCCGACAGGCGAAAGGAAACUCGCCUGAAAGAGGAUUGGGAAACAAGCCUUGCUGCCCUCGUCCGUGCUAACAAGUGCAUGUAGCGGCAGAGGGUCCUUGACCAAAAACCACGCAUCUGAAGGCACCCGGGGAACUUUAAAACGGCACACGUUCUUCGAAUGAAAGUUGUUGGUGUUUAGCGGUCGGCCUCAUCUCAUCUUCCGUGCCCUCGUCUCCGGAAAGAAAUUCCACCUGACUGAAUUCCUAGGUCCCAACUCCGACCUGCAUUUCAUGGCUCUAUGCAUAUUCGUUCAUCGUUUGACUAUUGGCGAAUUCCCGAUCGGACGCGUUUGAAGAACCAUGAAAGCUCUUCUGGUUCCAAAAUACCCAGGCAUCUGCGCGGAAACAUCUCCUUGGGACUUCUUCAAUGCGUCUGUGAUAAGCUAACGGGUAACUCGGAGGUGCGAGGUGCCACAGGCCACCCGCCGGGUCUUCCGGCGCUGGGAAGCCGCAUAGUGGAAACGAUCCGUGGUGUAAUCGGCAUUUUAUUGCGAGGACGCGUGUAUUUCGAGUCGAGAACGUUGUCUAAUAAAUGGCAGUCUGUUGAUAAAA
rnacentral:lncRNA from 1 species